CUUGCAGAACAGUGACGCCAAGUGGCCACUUGAAUGUUUGUAUUGAUGCAGUCUGUUCCGUGUGUAAGGUCAAAGGCUGCCAUGUUUUGUUCUCCUUCCUAGUGCAUUCCUCUACGCUCCUGUCACAACACUUGCCAGCUCGGUGGUAACAAAACAAGGUUGGAACAACACAGCAGGCUUCCCCAAGUGCGUGGGUGAGAAAACAAGCUCCUCCUGACUCAGGCGUGAUUGUGAUCACCCAGCAGUAAACAAGCCAAGGGAUCAGCCCACCAGCGAUGACUUCAUCCCGGCCCGGCGGUGGAAUGUAGAAAAGCAAAACGGAAUCACUCCCAGCUGCAUCAGAAGGCCAGGGGUACCUAAUGAAGUGGCCUGUGAGUGUGCAUCCAUCCACCCAUCAAGGACACCAGUCGUCAUACUUGACAUCUCAUACUACAGAAAGGAAGUCACCGAUGGUGAGAAGUUGCGGUGUUAAUUUGACAGAGCGCCACUUCCUGUCAGCACAGAGGAUGUUCCCAGACAAUCUUUGAUGGACGCCAGCAAACCGGAGUAAAGGAAGUGGAGACAGAUUGGCUUGAUUGAGUUCACCUGUGAAAAAUGUUUGAGCUUCAGUCAGUCCUUUUUGACAUUCUGCUAAGAGGGAGGGAGGCAGCUCCUGUGUGGACUCAGAAGACGCAACUGGUGAGUUGUUUGCUUGUUUGGACUGAGGGGAAUGUUUAAAGAAAAUCAUUUCACUGGGGAAAAUGUUUAAAGGAGAUCAUUUCACUGAUGUUUACAAAUUGUUU